UACGAAGGGGGCUAGCGUUGCUCGGAAUGACUGGGCGUAAAGGGCGCGUAGGCGGCAAUUCAAGUCAUCUGUGAAAUCUCCGGGCUUAACUCGGAACGGUCAGAUGAUACUGCUUUGCUAGAGUGCGGAAGGGGCAAUCGGAAUUCUUGGUGUAGCGGUGAAAUGCGUAGAUAUCAGGAGGAACACCGGUGGUGUAGACGGCUCUCUGGACCGUAACUGACGCUGAGGCACGAAAGCGUGGGUAGCAAACAGG
rnacentral:rRNA from 1 species